AUCAUGGUGCUGAGGCAUGGAAGCAGGCAGUCAUGGUGACCGGCGCUUACUGCUGAGGGCUGCAGGCUCACAUCUCAAACCACAAACAAGAAGCAGACAUAGAAAGGAAAAUCUAAAUAGUAUGUCUUUAAACUCUUAAAGCCCACCUCCAGUGACAUACUUCCUCCAGCAAGGUCAUAACCCUAAGCCUCCCUAAACUGAGGACCAAGCAUUCAAAUGUCCAAAAGUAUGUCGGAUAUUUGUCAUUCAAACUACCACAACAUAUAAAAUUAUAUAUACAUAUAGAUAGAUAGAUAUAGAUGAUAUAGAUAUAGAUAAGUAUAUAGCUUAUGCUUUUUACAAACCCAUUAUCUAUUUCUAUGAUACUAUGUAAAUAUAUUAACCCUCACCAAAAUUCCAUGCAAAUAUUUAAGAAUGAAAAUGAAGAACAUUUUAAGGCUCGUUAAGAGUGUUUUCAAGAGUGUCCAAAUGAACAAAAGUACAAAGGGAAAUUCAUCAUCAAAAGGAGACAUUAAACUUGAUGCCCACAGUUUAUAAUAACAUGGCCCUGUGGCUGUUGUGUGGUUUUUUGUUUUUGUUUUUUUCUAGAGGAUGUAACUAAUGAAGUUGCUUCCUUUGAAUUCCUGGCAAAGUAAAAGUGCAAAAUCAGAGAAUGUCUGUUAUUUUCAGGUUCAAAAGCAGAUAUCAGAAAUACAAUC
rnacentral:lncRNA from 1 species